ensembl:lncRNA
CUGGGGAUGAGUGGGGGUCCUCCAGAGCCAUAGAGUUGUGGCACUUGAGGGGAUAGAGUGGACACAGGGGUUGUUGGGGGGACUGGGUAGGCCUGGAGGACCUCCAGGGCCAUAGAGUUGUAGCGUAUGCGGGGCUAGAGUGGGCAUAAGGGUUGCUUGGAGGACUGGGGAGGGGUGGAGGUCCUCCAGAGCCAUAGAGUUGUGGCACUUGAGGGGCUAGAGUGGGCAUAAGGCUUGCUGGGAGGACUGGGUAGGCCUGGAGGUCCUCCAGAGCCAUAGAGUUCUAGCGUGUGUGGGGCUAGAGUGGGCAUAAGGGUUGCUUGGAGGGCUGGGGGUCCUCCAGGGUCAUAGAGUUGCGGGGUGGGUGGGGGGAGAGCGGGCGGUUUUGCGUUCGGAGGACUCACCAUUCACCUGCCCAUAGCCGGAAGUCCUCCAGAACCAUAGAGUUCUAGCGUGUGUGGGGCUAGAGUGGGCAUAAGGGUUGCUUGGAGGACUGGGUAGGCCUGGAGGUCCUCCAGAGCCAUAGAGUUGUGGCACUUGAGGGCAUAGAGUGGCCACAGGGGUUGCUUGGAGGACUGGGUAGGCCGGAGUCCUCCAGAGCCAUAGAGUUACAGCGUGUGUGGGGCUAGAGUGGGCAUAAGGGUUGCUUGGAGGGCUGGGGGUCCUCCAGGGUCAUAGAGUUGCGGGGUGGGUGGGGGGAGAGCGGGCGGUUUUGCGUUCGGAG